CACUUAUCAAAAUGUAUGUUCCAACUCCUUUGACCUGAGAUCACCAUGGUACCUUAUGUGCAUAUACCCUUACUUUGGUUUAUUCCCUAGCACACUACUUUGAGAUGUGUAUAGGAUAUUCUAGGUAUGGCAAAGUGUGCAUGGAGGUUGUGAGUGGUCAACAAAGAAUCGGUCACUCCUUGUAAGAGGAGAGAACACCUAUGUGAUCUCA
rnacentral:lncRNA from 1 species